AGGCCAUGUUUUGCAGCCAAGGAUGACUUGCCGGCAAAUUAAACUCUAUUCCAUAAACAUUUUUCUUAAAGCUUGCAUUAAUUAAUGGUCAUCUUAGUAAUCUUAAAUAAACAUGGGAAGUCUCUUCUAGUUAGCUUAUAGAGGUAUCUCAGUGCUACAUUUGUCCAUGGAAGGAAGAAAUGGUUUUAUCUUUUGGUGAGUAAAAGAAAAUGUUUUCCUAUUAAUAGAUUUGUGAAAGUUGGUUCAUUUAGCUAGCUAUAGAAGUAUACCGGCAAGUGGUCUUUGGCUACAUAUCUCCCUCA